GACGAACCGUGCGAACGUUAUUCGGAAUCACUGGGCUUAAAGCGCGUGUAGGCGGAUGGGGACGUCGGUCGCUGAAAUCCCCCGGCUCAACCGGGGAACUGGCCCCGAAACGCCCCGUCUCGAGUGACGUAGGGGGACCUGGAACUUCCGGUGGAGCGGUGAAAUGCGUUGAGAUCGGAAGGAACGCCCGUGGCGAAAGCGAGGUCCUGGACGUCGUCUGACGCUGAGACGCGAAAGCUAGGGUAGCGAACGGG
rnacentral:rRNA from 1 species